GAUGAACGCUGGCGGCGUGCCUAAUACAUGCAAGUCGAGCGAACAGAUAAGGAGCUUGCUCCUUUGACGUUAGCGGCGGACGGGUGAGUAACACGUGGGUAACCUACCUAUAAGACUGGAAUAACUCCGGGAAACCGGGGCUAAUGCCGGAUAACAUUUAGACCCGCAUGGUUCUAAAGUGAAAGAUGGUUUUGCUAUCACUUAUAGAUGGACCCGCGCCGUAUUAGCUAGUUGGUAAGGUAACGGCUUACCAAGGCAACGAUACGUAGCCGACCUGAGAGGGUGAUCGGCCACACUGGAACUGAGACACGGUCCAGACUCCUACGGGAGGCAGCAGUAGGGAAUCUUCCGCAAUGGGCGAAAGCCUGACGGAGCAACGCCGCGUGAGUGAUGAAGGUCUUCGGAUCGUAAAACUCUGUUAUUAGGGAAGAACAAAUGUGUAAGUAACUGUGCACGUCUUGACGGUACCUAAUCAGAAAGCCACGGCUAACUACGUG
rnacentral:rRNA from 1 species